rnacentral:rRNA from 1 species
GAACAGACGGGGGCAUUAGUAUUGUUGCGUUAGAGGUGAAAUUCUUAGAUCGCAGCAAGACUAACAACUGCGAAAGCAUUUGCCAAGAAUGUUUUCAUUAAUCAAGGACGAUAGUUAGAGGUUCGAAGGCGAUCAGAUACCGCCCUAGUUCUAACCGUAAACGAUGCCAACUAGCGAUCCGUCGGUGUUAAAAUUUGACUCGACGGGCAGCUUCCGGGAAACCAAAGUUUUCUGGUUCCGGGGGAAGUAUGGUUGCAAAGCUUAAACUUAAAGGAAUUGACGGAAGGGCACCACCAGGAGUGGAGCCUGCGGCUUAAUUUGACUCAACACGGGGAAACUCACCCGGCCAGGACACAAUAAGGAUUGACAGAUUGAUAGCUCUUUCUUGAUUUUGUGGGUGGUGGUGCAUGGCCGUUCUUAGUUGGUGGAGCGAUUUGUCAGGUUAAUUCCGAUAACGAACGAGACUCUAGCCUAUUAAAUAGACAAUAUAUUAUUAGUAUAUCGAGCUUCUUAGAGGGACAGGCAGCGUCUAGCUGCACGAGAUUGAGCAAUAACAGGUCUGUGAUGCCCUUAGAUGUCCGGGGCUGCACGCGCGCUACAAUGAUAAUAGCAACGUGCAUUAAAACCUUUUCUGGUAAGAAUUGGUAAACACGAAAUAUUGUCGUGCUUGGGAUAGGGGAUUGAAAUUAUUGCCCUUAAACGAGGAAUUCCCAGUAAGUGCGAGUCAUCAGCUCGCGUUGAUUACGUCCCUGCCCUUUGUACACACCGCCCGUCGCUACUAC